AGGGAUUGCCUCAGUAACGGCGAGUGAAGCGGCAACAGCUCAAAUUUGAAAUCUGGCCUCUCCGGGGCCCGAGUUGUAAUUUGUAGAGGGUGUUUCGGGCGAGGCGCCAGCCUAAGUUCCUUGGAACAGGACGUCAUAGAGGGUGAGAAUCCCGUAUGCGGCUGGUGGCCGACCCCAUGUGAAACCCCUUCGACGAGUCGAGUUGUUUGGGAAUGCAGCUCUAAGUGGGUGGUAAAUUUCAUCUAAAGCUAAAUACCGGCCAGAGACCGAUAGCGCACAAGUAGAGUGAUCGAAAGAUGAAAAGCACUUUGGAAAGAGAGUUAAAAAGUACGUGAAAUUGUUGAAAGGGAAGCGCUUGCAACCAGACCUGCCUCCGGGUGAUCAGCCGCCGUUUUCGGCGGUGCACUCGCCCGUUGCAGGCCAGCAUCGGUUCGGGCGGUCGGAUAAAGGCCUGGAGAAUGUGGCUCCCCUCGGGGAGUGUUAUAGCUCCUGGUGCAAUGCGGCCAGCCUGGACCGAGGACCGCGCUUCGGCUAGGAUGCUGGCGUAAUGGUUGUAAGCGGCCCGUCUUGAAACACGGACCAAGGAGUCUAACAUCUAUGCGAGUGUUUGGGUGUCAAACCCAUGCGCGCAAUGAAAGUGAACGGAGGUGAGAACCCUUCAGGGCGCAUCAUCGACCGAUCCAGAUGUCUUCGGAUGGAUUUGAGUAAGAGCAUAACUGUUUCGACCCGAAAGAUGGUGAACUAUGCCUGAAUAGGGUGAAGCCAGAGGAAACUCUGGUGGAGGCUCGCAGCGGUUCUGACGUGCAAAUCGAUCGUCAAAUUUGGGUAUAGGGGCGAAAGAC
rnacentral:rRNA from 1 species